UGAUCCCGAUGAGCCGGAGAUGGCUGCAAAAUAAUGAUGAGAAUGUGAGUUCCUUCAGCCUGGGUAUCCCGGAGGAGACAGAGAGAAGACUGCACCCCUAAUCCUGCCCAGUUACUUCACAAAGGCACACUAUUGAUGACCGGAAUGAACCAUUCCUUCCCUCAUUCAUUCCUUGGUGACAAGGGCCAGAGGGCAGAGACCCUGUUUGUUAAACAUUUACCAGGACCCCUCUGACUAUGACUAUGCAUCUACGUUUUUUACAUGCUGUCUCCACCUUCAGAUUGUGAGCAAAGACUGUUUUUGCUUUUCUUUGUAUCCCCGGCACUUAGCAAAAUGCCUGGCACAUGGUCCCGAGAAGGCUUUCAGUUAGCCCAGCACAUGGAUGUCGGCAACAAUGACCAUGGUCUUGUCUCAGUUCCAGCAUAGUGAUGGUCCUACCCUGACAGCAAUGGGGACUUCCCCCAAAUAGCCAAGGAUUCUGCAUUUAACUGAUGUGCAUCUGACCAGUGUAUGACCUCCAUCAGGCUUUCAAAGGCAAUGGAAGAAGGACAGGUGGUUUCCAUUCUAUGUUAGUGUUCCUGUAAGGAUCCCAAGAUUGGUCAGCCUCUGUCCCAGGUACACUGAAGGCAAGAGGAAAGGGCUCAGGAGGUAUUCUCAAGGACAAAGACUGCACUGGUCUUGUGAUAAAACAUCACUGUGGUAUCACUUGUGAUAAAACAAAAGUCAAGAUGACUGUCUAUGGUCUGGGCUGCAGUGAAUCACUUUGGCGCCUUUGAUGUCUGGCCAAGCCUUUGGUGCAUGCUGUCCCUCAACACCUCCAGCAGUUUACAGUACAUUCCAUUGCACAAGACAAUUUUUUUUUGUCAAUACAGGGGAACACAAACAGACAAACAAGGAAGCACUGCCCAUACAGGGAAAGCAUCCCAAGUUACCAGACCUCCAGAGAUAUGCCUCAUCAUCUGACUCUCUUGUUCUCUCUCUGGAUGUCACAAACCAUUCCACCACAAGACGCCAGCUCAGAAACACCAGGCUGGAAAUCUAGCUAUUUUUGUCUUUGAAAGCUGAUGGGGAAGAGAGGCUGGUGCCCUCACAAGAAUUAUUGCCGAAAGCUUCUACCUUCCUGUUCCCCUCAUCAAUUGUUUUGUCAUCCUGCUUAUAAUGGCAAAAGAGAUUUUAGAAAUCAUAUUGGCCAGGAGCUCUUUCCACAUGAUGUCAGUUGGUCAUCAUGCUUCCACCACUUCCAGUGGUGGGGAACUCAUCUACUACACAAGACAGCUCACUCUGUCUUUGGAUGAUGUGAAUAAUUAGGAAGCUCCCUGUAUUGAGCUGAGAACAGCCUCCCCAUGACUUUGACUUUUGGAUCAUGCUUUUGUGCUCUGGAUCACCUUAGAGUAAGUUUUCCCUAUGAGAGUUCUUUAGAUAAUUGAGAUCAAUCAUCUCAUCCUUCUAAAUCUUCUCUUAUUCAAGCAAAUAUCCCUGGCUCCUUCAAAAGCUUCAAUACAAGUCAAUAAGCAUUUGUUAAAUGCUUAUCAUGUUCCAGUCAAUGUGCUAAGCACUGGGGAUACACAGAAAGUCAAAAAUCACCCCCCAAACACCAUCCCUGUCUUCAAAGAGCUCAAGAUCUAAUCACAGAAACACCAUGCCAACAACUGUGUACAAACAACAUACAUACAGGAUAAACUGGAGAUGAGCACAGAGGAAAGAAGGCCCUAGCAUCAAUGGGCCCCUGGAACUUGCCAAAAGUUGGUGCUUGUCCUUCAUUUUUGAAGAGGACCAGUGACGUCAUGGGGUGAUGUCUUGAUUUGUGUGAAUUGAA